UCCCUGGUGGCUCAGAUGGUUAAGAAUUUGCUUGCAAUGUAGGAGACCCAGGUUCAGCCCCUGGCUUGGGAA
rnacentral:tRNA from 1 species